AUGGAGAGGAACCUGGGAGCUGUGCUGGGGAUUCUGUGGGUGCAGAUUUGCUGGGUGAGAGGAGUUGAGGUGAAGCAGAGUCCUUCAGCCCUGAGUCUCCAUGAGGGAAGCAGUUCUGCUCUGAGAUACAAUUUCUCUACCACCAUGACAACUGUGCAAUGGUUCCGACAGAAUCCCAAGGGCAGCCUCACCAAUCAGUUUUACCUGGCUCCAGGAACAAAGGAGAAUGGGAGGUUAAAGUCAACAUUCAACCCCAAGGAGCACUACAGCACCCUGCACAUCAGAGAUGCCCAGCUGGAGGACUCAGGCAUCUACUUCUGUGCUGCUGAUGCACAGUGCUCACAACAAGCCUGCAGCCUAACCCCAAACUGCAGCUGUCUGUGCAGCAACAGCCCCGCCACAGGGGGACUCUGA